rnacentral:lncRNA from 1 species
UUCAGUGUCUUGUCUUAUCUUUGUAAGAAGCCUGUAGUAGAAAAAGAAGUGGGUCGUACCCUUUCGAACAUCUCUACUAUUCACAAAAAGGCUGACUUGAGUAAAACCAAAGACAAGCUGGUAGAUGUCGAAGAAAAACUUGUGGAGACCAACUUCGGUGAUGUAACACCUUUUAAAUUUCUCCAAACCAACACUUCCUCUGAGAGGGUAGAGGUAAGUAUGGAGACAGUUUACCACAGCCAUGAGGACACGGGGAAGAAAACCUCUGGAGAGAAGAAGAAAAGCAGAGAGAGGGGAAAGGGCAAAGGAAAUAAAGGACGUCAAAAACGACAAAGGAAACGUUUGGAAGAUCAAGACAACAUGGAAGACGAGGUUGAGGAAGCAUCAUCUGACGACGAGGAAUAUGAAUAUGAGGACGAGGUGCCCACGGAAGAGCCUUUUCCCUCUCGAGAGGAGAAGGGCGAAGGGGAGGAGCUAAAAUACUCCGCAACAACAGCUAUAUACACACAAGAAAAUGAGGGUGAAACAACUCCUCCGAUUACGCAGUCUUUAGAGGAGAUUACACUGAUGGUUUACACAACAACAGCGAGUCCCCUGCUUUCAUCAAAAUUCACAGAGCAGAAGCCGCCUGAAACCACGUUAUUAUCAGUGCUAAAUACAACACAAACUGGAGAAGAGGAGCUCCUCUAAACUCUGUAAGAGAGACAUUCAAGUGUGUAGAAACUGUGAAGGGUAAAAGAGGGGGAGGAUCUGACUGGCCGGCAUUACUUUGGGAGAGCCUCCUUUCCCGUCGCACAAUGAUGAUGUUAUUCAUCCAUGUUGCCUCCACCACGACUAGCGUUCAGUAUGCUGCAGUGCCUUUGAUAGAUUGAGAAGAACCGCCGGCGCUCUCUGAAGAGAGACCAGCCCAGUAAAAACAUAAAGAACAGAUCUUGUAGUGUGCUGUCUUUACACUUACUGAACAAAUGCAAGCUAAAUCAUCUAUAAUCCAUGUAAAAGUGACAACACAAAACACUAUCGAAUGAAGUUGUUUUAAUAGAAAAUCAAAUAAUUUGCCCUGACAGCUCAUUCAACAUCGAUUUGUUCAUCAGUUCCUUAUUUAUUGAUAAGACUGAAAAAAGAUUGUAUUUUGGUUGUCUGCAUAUUUCGUUUUUCAUUUGCGG